AUACGGAGGGUGCGAGCGUUGUUCGGAAUUAUUGGGCGUAAAGAGCAUGUAGGCGGUCUGUUAAGUCUGGUGUGAAAGCCCGGGGCUCAACCCCGGAAGUGCAUUGGAUACUGGCAGACUUGAGUAUGCGAGAGGAAAGCGGAAUUCCGAGUGUAGGAGUGAAAUCCGUAGAUAUUCGGAGGAACACCAGUGGCGAAGGCGGCUUUCUGGACCAAUACUGACGCUGAGAUGCGAAAGCGUGGGGAGCAAACAGGAUUAGAAACCCCGGUAGUCC
rnacentral:rRNA from 1 species